GCCACUGAUGUGCAUUUCUAGCUUCAGAACCCAUGACUUUUUAUGAUUCUUCAGUGUGAUCCCCACAAUGGCCUCGGGGACCUAUACCAAGACCAUUCUCACGAUGUGACUUCUGUAAACCAUAAAGCAGCCACUGUGUUUUACAAUCUGCUUCCUUUCGUCCUCCCUUCUCCCUUCAGAGAGCCACUUUAGCACCACGACUAGAAGGACAGGAACAACCAGAGCCUCAUCAAAUCCAGCACACCACUACUACAACGAGAAGGCCAGGAACAACUAGAGCACCGUCAAAUCCUAUGGAACUUGAUGGGUUUGACUUGGAAGAUGCCUUGUAUGAUCAGAAAAAAAGCCAAGUACAGGAGAAGGAGGAGG
rnacentral:lncRNA from 1 species